GUGAGCGUGCCGAAGUGAUUAUCGGGCAUGACUAGAAAUCAUAUGGGCUCUGCCCACGCAGGUUUGAAUCCUGCCGCUCACG
rfam:Gossypium arboreum cultivar AKA8401 contig_15255_3, whole genome shotgun sequence.